UGGGUGGGAUUUGGGGGUCCCCGGUGGGAUUUGGGGGUCCCCGGGUGGGAUUUGGGGGUCCCCGGUGGGAUUUGGGGGUCCCAGUGCCCCCAGACUCACCACUGCUGUGAACUGGUGGAAGUCGGGGCGGAGGUCGCUGCCCCGCAGGUGGAUGUAGGAGCCCUUGUUGCCCAUCUGGUCACUGCAGGGGACAUUUGGGGACACUUGGGGACACUUGGGGACACUUGGGGACAUUUGGGGACAUUUGGGGACACUUGGGGACAUUUGGGGACACUUGGGGACAUCACAGCACAGCCCCUGUGGGCCACCACGAGGCUGGGGACCACCAGGGAUGGGGACAUUUGGGGACAUUGGGGACACUUGGGGACACUUGGGGAUGGGGCUGAGGGGACAAGGUGGCUCAGGGGACACCCUGGGGACCAAACCGAGGGGACAUUUCAGCUCAGGGGACACUGGGGACAGGACUGAGGGGACAAGGUGGCUCAGGGGACACCCUGGGGACAAAACCAAGUGGCCAAGGUGGCUCAGGGGACACCAGGCUUGGGGACAAGGUGGUUCAGGGGACAUCAGACAUGGGGACAAGGUGGCUCAGAGGACACCUUGGGGACAUUUCAGCUCAGGGGACACCAGGCUUGGGGACAAGGUGGCUCAGAGGACACCUUGGGGACAUUUCAGCUCAGGGGACACCUGGGGAAAGGACUGAGGGGACAAGGUGGCUCAGGGGACACCCUGGGGACAUUUCAGCUCAGGGGACAUCAGACAUGGAACAAGGUGGCUCAGGGGACAUCAGACAUGGGGACAAGGUGGCUCAGGGGACACUGAGGACCAAACCAAGGGGACAAGGUGGCUCAGGGGACACCUUGGGGACAUUUCAGCUCAGGGGACACUGGGGAGGACUGAGGGGACAAGGUGGCUCAGGGGACACCUGGGGACCAAACCAAGGGGACAAAGUGGCUCAGGGGACACCAGGCUUGGGGACAAGGUGGUUCAGGGGACAUCAGACAUGGGGACAAGGUGGCUCAGGGGACACUGGGGACCAAACCAAGGGGACAAGGUGGCUCAGGGGACACCUUGGGGACAUUUCAGCUCAGGGGACACUGAAGUGAGGUGACACAGGGGACAAACGCAGGGCCACCGGCGCCGUCCCCUCACCAGUAGUUGGGGGCGGAGAAGACGGUGACGCAGCGGCCAUCGUGGGCCACCUCGUAGCCCUCGGCCUUGACCUCGUGGCUGCGGAUG
rnacentral:lncRNA from 1 species